GGUGCUGUAGUCCAAUUGGUUUGGUCCUCCACAGAAUGGAGGAGAUGCGGGUUCGAAUCCCGCCGACGCCC